CUUACCCCAUAACAAACUUUAUCGUUUCUUUCGUUCCCUCUCGCUCGCAGUUGGUUCUCUUCUCGCCUCUGGUGGCCGCGACAGCGAGGGGUAUCCUCCGCGCGCGGUCUCCCCCUCACCCACCCCGGCCAUCGCUGCCGGUUCCUCUACGUCCUAUCUCUCUCAUCUCAGUCCGAAUCCGCCAAGGCCAAGCGCAUCGAGACCUUCUCCGCCGGACAAACCGCAAGAUCGACCUCGGCGAAUGCGGCUCCAUGAUCUUGGAUGCCCUCAUCAAGAUCAGGAACGAGACGGACCCCUCCGUCUCUUUCCGCCGGUCCUUCCGAGUGGGCGAACAUCGAUGGCUACAACGGCGUCGCCCGCCUCACCAAGAUCCUGUACUCGGCGGCAGUUGGUGAUCGUUGAUCCGGUCGUGGACAUAGUCACAGUUCAUUACAAGUGCGUGAAGCUGUGGAUCAAGAUGAAGCCCUGGUGCCCGGCAAAGGACGGGGAUCUCGAAGGAUGGCGCGGAACUGGUCGGGAUGUACGAGUGCGAGACCUACCUCGGGCCCGCAUGCCCUCCAGCCCCACCGGCCACCCGCGGAAGGAGAUCUCCCAGGGCACGAAGGAACCGCGAGACCUACUGCAGAACCUUCUGUCCUAGCUAUGGAACCGUGAGACGUACCUCGGCCCCGCCGCUCUCCACGCCCGCAAGUAUUACUCCUUUCGCCUGAUUUCUUUUCUAAAAAUGUCUAUCUCAGCUUUGAUUGCUUUCAAAUAGCUUAAAGAUUCCUUAUCUUGAAAGUCUUAUGUAAUUUCUGAUUGUUUCUUCGUGCUUAAUGACUUAUCUAUAAUGAAGUGAAUGUAUCUUUUUAGUA